rnacentral:rRNA from 1 species
CAGAGACUGCAAGCGUUAUUCGGAUUCACUGGGCGUAAAGGGUGCGCAGGCGGUUGGGUGUGUCAGAUGUGAAAUCCCGAGGCUCAACCUCGGAACUGCGUCUGAAACUACUCAACUAGAGUACUGGAGAGGGUAACGGAAUUCACGGUGUAGCAGUGAAAUGCGUAGAUAUCGUGAGGAACACCAGAGGCGAAGGCGGUUACCUGGACAGUUACUGACGCUCAGGCACGAAAGCAUGGGGAGCAAAAGGGAUUAGAUACCCCUGUAGUCCAUGCCCUAAACGGUGCACACUAGGUCUUAGCGGAUUCGACCCCACUAGGGCCCAAGCUAACGCGUUAAGUGUGCCGCCUGAGGACUACGGUCGCAAGACUA